ACAGCCUCCCUCCUCGGACGGGGGGCCUGC
rfam:Turnip crinkle virus virulent satellite RNA C